CAGUCGCCGCGGUAAUACGAAGGGGGCUAGCGUUGUUCGGAAUUACUGGGCGUAAAGCGCGUGUAGGCGGGUCCUUAAGUCAGGCGUGAAAUGCCGAGGCUCAACCUCGGAACUGCCUUUGAUACUGGGGAUCUUGAGUCCGGGAGAGGUGAGUGGAACUGCGAGUGUAGAGGUGAAAUUCGUAGACAUUCGCAAGAACACCAGUGGCGAAGGCGGCUCACUGGCCCGGAACUGACACUGAGAGACGAAAGCUAGGGGAGCAAAUGGGAUUAGAUACCCGCGUAGUCCCUGUCUCUUAUAC
rnacentral:rRNA from 1 species